GUGUCAGCAGCCGCGGUAAUACGUAGGGUGCAAGCGUUGUCCGGAAUUAUUGGGCGUAAAGAGCUCGUAGGCGGUCUGUCGCGUCGGAUGUGAAAAUCCAGGGCUCAACCCUGGACCUGCAUUCGAUACGGGCAGACUAGAGUUCGGUAGGGGAGACUGGAAUUCCUGGUGUAGCGGUGAAAUGCGCAGAUAUCAGGAGGAACACCGGUGGCGAAGGCGGGUCUCUGGGCCGAAACUGACGCUGAGGAGCGAAAGCGUGGGGAGCGAACAGGAUUAGAUACCCGGGUAGUCC
rnacentral:rRNA from 1 species